CCUACGGGAGGCAGCAGUGAGGAAUAUUGGUCAAUGGGCGGAAGCCUGAACCAGCCAAGUAGCGUGCAGGAUGACGGCCCUACGGGUUGUAAACUGCUUUUAUACGGGAAUAACGCGCCUUACGUGUAGGGCUUUGCAUGUACCGUAUGAAUAAGGACCGGCUAAUUCCGUGCCAGCAGCCGCGGUAAUACGGAGGGUCCGGGCGUUAUCCGGAUUUAUUGGGUUUAAAGGGAGCGUAGGCCGCAUGUCAAGCGUGCUGUGAAAUGUCCGGGCUCAACCCGGGCCUUGCAGCGCGAACUGGCGGGCUUGAGUACGGGGGAGGCAGGCGGAAUUCGUCGUGUAGCGGUGAAAUGCUUAGAUAUGACGAAGAACACCGAUUGCGAAGGCAGCUUGCUGGAGCGGAACUGACGCUGAGGCUCGAAAGCGCGGGUAUCGAACAGGAUUAGAUACCCCAGUAGUC
rnacentral:rRNA from 1 species